rnacentral:rRNA from 2 species
UCUAAUACAUGCAAGUCGAGCGAGAAAUUUUGAAUUUAUUCAAAUGGAAGGCGGCGGACGAGCGAGUAACACGUAAGAAUCUGCCCCGUACUCAGGGAUAAUCCCGCGAAAGCGGGACUAAUACCGGAUAUUCCCGCAAGGGGAAACUACGGUGGUACGGGAGGAGCUUGCGGCCUAUCAGCUUGUUGGUGAGGUAAAGGCUCACCAAGGCUAUGACGGGUACCUGGUGUGAGAGCAUGACCAGGCGCGAUGGGACUGAGACACGGCCCAUACUCC